UACGUAGGGGGCAAGCGUUGUCUGGAUUUAUUGGGCGUAAAGAGCGUGUAGGCGGCCAGGUAGGUCAGCUGUGAAAACUCGAGGCUCAACCUCGAGACGUCGGUUGAAACCACCUGGCUAGAGUCCGGAAGAGGAGAGUGGAAUUCCUGGUGUAGCGGUGAAACGCGCAGAUAUCAGGAAGAACACCCGUGGCGAAGGCGGCUCUCUGGGUCGGUACUGACGCUGAGACGCGAAAGCGUGGGGAGCGAACAGG
rnacentral:rRNA from 1 species